rnacentral:lncRNA from 1 species
GGACGGGUCCCAUGGACCAGACCGGGAUGGGUCCCAUGGACCAGACCGGGAUGGGUCCCAUGGGCCGGACCGGGAUGGGUCCCAUGGGCCGGACCGGGAUGGGUCCCAUGGGCCGGACCGGGAUGGGUCCCAUGGGCCGGACCAGGAUGGGUCCCAUGGGCCGGACCAGGAUGGGUCCCAUGGACCAGACCGGGAUGGGUCCCAUGGGCCGGACCAGGAUGGGUCCCAUGGGCCGGACCAGGACGGGUCCCAUGGGCCGGACCGGGAUGGGUCCCAUGGGCCGGACCAGGACGGAUCCCAUCCCUGUGAUGGAGGCGAUGCCGGUGGUGGCAGGAGGAGGAUUUCCCCAUGGAACGGAGCUCUGGGAACAACGCGAUUUCAAGGGAUUUCACACCCCGACCAACAGCCCCGGCGCCGCCUGGAACGAGAAAGCAAAAAACAAAACGACAAAAAAAAGGCUCAGAAAGCACCAAUUUCUGCUUCGAGUCCCGGAACCCCUCCGUGGUUCAGACCCAUGGGGCCGUGCUGGGAUCCGCGGGUAAGAAAGCGUUUAGAGUUUGAGCAGCCGGGGGAAGAUGAGCUCCAAUUGUAAAAGAGCAACAACAACAACAACAACAGCAACAACCGUCACCCCCCCCCCAAAAAAAAAAUAAAGAGGGAAUAGACGUCGCUGGCGCGGGGUUA